GCAGGUUAAAGUACAUGUAUGAUUACAGUACUGUGAAGGAAGGAAUAAAGCUUAGUUAAGCAAUAUAACAAUAUGUACCUUUUGCAUCAUGGCUUAGCGAGAAGAAAGGCCAUAUUGGUAUUUCUCGAAAUCUAAUGAGCGACCUAAUUACCUACGUUAGUAGUAAAUACUUAAUGUGGCACCAUUAAUUUUUAGAUAAAUUAGGUAGAAAUUAUAUGUUAUACGUAUUAGAUGAUAGCUAGUUCUCUCAUAGAUGUAUGAAGUACAGGGGUCCCUAUGAAUCCAUGUAUCAACUUUACAUGCAUGCAAUUUAGGACUACUGAGGCUUUUGAGGAUAAGCUCACUAGCGAAAGGGUGUUUAAGAUAAUAUAUACUUCUGAGCUUAGAAUUUGCUAAGAUUUAGUUUGUUAUAAAUAAUUGAUAGAUAAUAAAAAGAUAGGAUAACGAAACGGAUAUGAGAGCAUAGAUACCAGCAAAAAUAUCUAAACAAAAUGCUAAGAUAAGUAUUUGCAUAAUUAAAAACUACAAUAAUUAACGGGGGGGUUUGUAUUACAUAUGUUAGUAUAAAUAUAUAGAAAGGAACUUGGCAAAGGCGUUCCCCGCCUGUUUAUCAAAAACAUGUCUCUUUGUGGAUUACGUAUAGAGAGUCGUGCCUGCCCAAUGCUCAUGUAAAUGGCCGCGGUACUCUGACCGUGCAAAGGUAGCAUAAUAAUUUGUUUAUUAAUUGUAGACUGGAAUGAAGGGCUUGACGGGGGAACAACUGUCUCCUUAUAUAUCAUUAAAAAUUGACUUUUUGGUUAAAAGGCCAAAAUACCAAACCUAGACGAAAAGACCCUAUGAGCUUUAUAUAAAUAUAUUGAUGAUAAUAUAGAUAUAUUUGGUUGGGGCAACAGAAGAACAAAAGAAGCUUCUUUAAACUUAAAAUUAAGAUAUAGAGCCGACAUCGUUUCGACAUAUAGAAAAAGCUACCGUAGGGAUAACAGCGUUAUUUUAUUAAAGAGUUCAUAUCGAAAAUAAAGAUUGCGACCUCGAUGUUGGACUAGAAUAUCCGGAGGGUGCAGCCGCUUUUAAAGGUUGGUCUGUUCGACCAUUAAAAUUCU
rnacentral:misc_RNA from 1 species